ACUCCUACGGGAGGCAGCAGUGGGGAAUAUUGCACAAUGGGCGCAAGCCUGAUGCAGCCAUGCCGCGUGUAUGAAGAAGGCCUUCGGGUUGUAAAGUACUUUCAGCAGUGAGGAAGGUGGGUAUGUUAAUAGCAUACCUCAUUUGACGAUUAGCUGCAGAAGAAGCACCGGNUAACCCCGUGCACAGGCCGCGGUAAUACGGAGGGU
rnacentral:rRNA from 1 species